UUGGGUUACAAGAACUUCUAUAUAAACUAAGUAAUGCUAGAAUACAAGAUAUUGAAUGUUGAGAUUAGUUGAUCGCGCUUAUUCCCUCAGGACUCUCCGUAGUCAUUCUAUCGACACCUCCGGCCCUUUGGGGAAUUUCUUGCUCAGCCCCGUUUCUUCUCUGUUCGCCGAUUGGGGUUGUCACAUGCUCUUUGACAUCUUUUAAAUUUCUUCAGGAAAACCCUACCAUCAACCUUCGAUUUACUACCAGCAAGAUUGAUUUAUUCCUAGUGUAUUUUCCCACAAUCCGUGUUUCAUACAACCCCUAUGGGGUUGGAUUUGAUCAUAACAUUAUAAGAUUAAGGGUUUGUUUAGAACUAGUUUUAACUCCUCUCUUCUACCCUCAUGCAUUGUUUUUAUUGUGUUUGCACCAUAUUGCCCGAAUUGUCACCACUAAGUAUGAUCAGGUUUCUCCCCAAUACCUAGAUCUCGAAGUCCAUGAAUAAGCCUCCUUCGUUGCAUUGGUCAGUGUAUUAGCUUCAUCGGUAAGUAAUCAUUGCUUCCUUUUGUUGAUGUAAUCCCAAACUGCCAUCGAGUAGGAGCAAAGGAAGAACCUAUGGUCUCGUGAUUCCAUUGGCCCUUCGUAAAGCACACAAUUGUUAUCUUCCCAAACCAUCCUCGUUGCCCAAUCCAGUCUUAUCGCUAUUUUCUCCAACCGAGCUCGCUAUAUGAUUAUGCAAAAUUUUGGAAUCUCUGUCGUCCACACACCCUUUCAGUAUUUAUCCACCUCCCCUCUGGUCCUUAUACAGUCCCAAACAUUCUUGAAAGUGAGCUUUGUUCCCCUACCUGUCUAUAAAAAAUUAUAAUCAGUCUUACAUUUAAUAAUAUGGCAUACUUACCUUUGGAGUCGAUAGUCUCGUCCAUAGGGCCGAGUCUACACUCAUCUGCUUUGUUAUGCUCAUCAUGCUCCUUCUCUUUAUGUAUCUCUUUCUCAUCCAUUGAAUCAUGCAAAGACCAAAUUCUACCAAUACGCAUAUAUAAUAAUUGAUUGUUUCCGUAGAUUCGCUGAAACAACUAAGCCCCAUUUGAAUCAGACCGGUUAUCCCAAAUAUUGAUUUUGAUUUUAUCCUCGGUCCGUUAGAGCGGUUCAGGAAC
rnacentral:lncRNA from 1 species